rnacentral:rRNA from 1 species
UACGUAGGGGGCAAGCGUUGUCCGGAUUCAUUGGGCGUAAAGAGCGUGUAGGCGGCCAGGUAGGUCGGUUGUGAAAACUGGAGGCUCAACCUUCAGAGGUCGACCGAAACCAUCUGGCUAGAGCCGGGAGAGGAGAGUGGAAUUCCUGGUGUAGCGGUGAAAUGCGCAGAUAUCAGGAAGAACACCCGUGGCGAAAGCGGCUCUCUGGAACGGUACUGGACGCUGAGACGCGAAAGCGUGGGGAGCGAACAGG